UACAUGGGGUGCAAACGUUGCUCGGAAUUAUUGGGCGUAAAGCGCACGUAGGCGGUUCGUUAAGUCGGAUGUGAAAGCCCUCGGCUCAACUGAGGAAGUGCACCCGAAACUGGCGAGCUUGAGUACGAAAGAGGAUCGCGGAAUUCCCGGUGUAGAGGUGAAAUUCGUAGAUAUCGGGAGGAACACCGGUGGCGAAGGCGGCGAUCUGGGUCGAUACUGACGCUGAGGUGGCGAAAGCGUGGGGAGCAACAGG
rnacentral:rRNA from 1 species